rnacentral:tRNA from 1 species
UGCGGGCGUGGUGGAACGGUAGACACAGACGACUUAAAAUCGUUAGCCUUCAGUGGUUUGCCGGUUCGAAUCCGGCCGCCCGCAUCC